UACGGAGGAUCCGAGCGUUAUCCGGAUUUAUUGGGUUUAAAGGGUGCGUAGGUGGAUUGGUAAGUCAGUGGUGGAAGUUUGCAGCUUAACUGUAAAAUUGCCGUUGAAACUGCCGGUCUUGAGUGCAAAUGAGGUAGGCGGAAUGCGUCGUGUAGCGGUGAAAUGCUUAGAUAUGACGCAGAACUCCGAUUGCGAAGGCAGCUUACUGGGAUGCAACUGACGCUGAGGCACGAAAGCGUGGGUAUCAAACAGGAUUAGAUA
rnacentral:rRNA from 1 species